UGCUGCCAGAACACUUGGAAGAAUGGUCCAAUGACCUAGGAAACUAUUUGGAGUUUGAGGAUUUUGUGUCAUUUCCCAAAUGUUGUUACGUAUGAAUCUGUUUCUUUUGCGUGCCCUGGAUUUUUAAGAGGGAAGAAUAUAUGUUGUACACAAUAUACUGGCAGGAUACAGACAUGCUGGUGGCUUCUUACUGAUGAGACAGUUCAUCAGAGCAUCUGCAGGAGAGUGUAACUAACCAGGAAGCUCUGCUUCUGGACUCCUUCUACUGGACUCAGCUUCACAAAAGCCUAAAAGGUCAAAUCAACCUUUACAGGGGAUGGAAGGACGAGUUCUUGCCCGACACUCUGAGACCCUGAAUGGAUCCUUCUGUGGCUGAUUCAACUCAAAUCUGAGCCCUCUUGUCACCAUGAAGUAAUAAGCUUGAUAAGGCACUCACUGAGGAUGACUAAGAAGAAAUUCAAGAGGAAAUCAUUGUCUCUUGAAGAUUCCUGGACCUGUGAAUCUUGGUUAUGGGAGGAAAAGCAUCACAUACUGGACUUUGAUGAAGAGAAUGCACAGCCUUCCAGAGAAGGCAAUACCUUGCCCCAGCCCUGCAAGGUAUUCCUACCCAUCUGGAACUGUGAUGGAGUCUUCAAAAUGCCAUUGCAUUGUUCUACCAAGCCAGCGGCUUCAGGAUGAUGGCUAAUAUAGUAAGACCAGUAAAAUCCACGACCAAGGGCCCAUUGCUGCACUUCUUUCACUCUGAAGGAACUCUUCAUGAGGCCAUAGACACUGGCUGGGAGAAAGAAGGUGGGUAGCGAGAGUGAAGACGACGUUCGUGCCACUUUUUCAUGUCAUUUAUGCACAUGCCUUCAGGUCCUGAUGAAGCCCAAUCUUGAAUAUAACACCACUCCCAUUCGAUAAUGGAAUGUGGCUGUGCAUGCCCAACAUUAUAGCAUGUAAGAGACACACCUGAAAAUAGGACCCCCAAAAGAUAAAGAGAUGGAUAAAAUGUAUCAGUUGAGUCUGACAAAAAGAAAGGCAAUUGUAGCAAUAACACCAGAAAACACAAAAUUCAAUGUCAAAUAUAUUAUAUGGGAUACAAAUGUAGGUUUCCCAAUUCAGUGACAGCA